rnacentral:rRNA from 1 species
UAGUCCACACCGUAAACGAUGUUCACUAGCCGCUGGGACCUUGGUUGUCUCGGUAGCGUAGCUAACGCGUUAAGUGAACCGCCUGGGGAGUACGGCCGCAAGGUUAAAACUCAAAGGAAUUGACGGGGACCCGCACAAGCGGUGGAGCAUGUGGUUUAAUUCGAAGCAACGCGCAGAACCUUACCAACCCUUGACAUCCUGAUCGCGGUUUUCCGAGAGGAAUUCCUUCAGUUCGGCUGGAUCAGUGACAGGUGCUGCGUGGCUGUCGUCAGCUCGUGUCGUGAGAUGUUCGGUUAAGUCCGGCAACGAGCGCAACCCACGUCUUUAGUUGCCAGCAGUUCGGCUGGGCACUCUAAAGAAACUGCCGGUGAUAAGCCGGAGGAAGGUGUGGAUGACGUCAAGUCCUCAAGGCCCUUACGGGUUGGGCUACACACGUGCUACAAUGGCAGUGACAAUGGGUUAAUCCCCAAAAGCUGUCUCAGUUCGGAUUGGGGUCUGCAACUCGACCCCAUGAAGUCGGAAUCGCU